UACGUAGGUGGCGAGCGUUAUCCGGAAUUAUUGGGCGUAAAGAGCGCGCAGGUGGUUGAUUAAGUCUGAUGUGAAAGCCCACGGCUUAACCGUGGAGUGUCAUUGGAAACUGGUCGACUUGAGUGCAGAAGAGGGAAGUGGAAUUCCAUGUGUAGCGGUGAAAUGCGUAGAGAUAUGGAGGAACACCAGUGGCGAAGGCGGCUUCCUGGUCUGUAACUGACACUGAGGCGCGAAAGCGUGGGGAGCAAACAGGAUUAGA
rnacentral:rRNA from 1 species